rnacentral:lncRNA from 1 species
AAAGGCAAAUGCAUAACUGUCCUACAAUGCACGCGAACACAGGAUGCAAGAUCUCAAAAUACUAAGACAUAAAAGGGAGCCCGAUUGCUUCGGGAUGGACACCACCCACCUCGUGGCGAUGUCGCGACGGUAGAAAACUCGAUGCUGCGGUCCUCGCACGUCGCUUCAACUCCUCGGGGCGAAGCGAGCCCUCGAGUACCCG